rnacentral:rRNA from 1 species
UACGAAGGGGGCUAGCGUUGUUCGGAAUUACUGGGCGUAAAGCGUGCGCAGGCGGCCAUCCAAGUCAGUGGUGAAAGCCCGGAGCUCAACUCCGGAAUUGCCAUUGAAACUGUUUGGCUCGAGUACGAGAGAGGUGCGUGGAAUUCCUGGUGUAGCGGUGAAAUGCGUAGAUAUCAGGAGGAACACCUGUGGCGAAAGCGGCGCACUGGACCACAACUGACGCUGAGGCGCGAAAGCUAGGGGAGCAAACAGG